AUGCAUACACUUUCAUACAUGUGCAUGUAGAGACCACCGGAGAACUUUCAGGAUUAGGUUCUUUCCUUCUACCAUUAUUUGUUUCUAAAGCUAUGUACUAAGAUACUAAUUUAUUCUUAAGAGAAUACCAAAGAGGUUGGGGAAGCAGAGACUGGGGAGAUAGAUCACUCAAUGAUGUGCUUAUAACACAAGCAUGAAGAUUUGAGUACCAUCUUUAUUACUCACAUAAUCCACCAGUUGUGAUGCUCUGCCUUUGUAACCCUAAUGAUGAGGAUAAAGAUAUAGGAUAAUCCCUAGGGUUCACUGGCCAGACAGCUAAGUUUUUCUUAAGUCCUGCAUCCCACCAAAAGACGUUACCACCAUAAAAACAAAGUGGAUUGUUCCUGAGGAUAAAUGACAAACAAGCUUUUCUCUAUCUCAAAACAGAUAAGCAGGACACACAGAACACAUGCAAACACACACACACACACACACACACACACACACACACACACACACACACCUGCAGGUAAAUAAAGUUAUGGGAGAUCAAUUUGUAACUUGUUACAACAUAAUCUUAGUUGCAAAAUUAGGCAGAAAGCAGAAAGCUACUUCUUCAACACCAUCUCCACCAUCUCCUUAUGGGAUUACUGGAGGGAAUCAAUGGAAGUAAGAGUCCUUCUAAACCAAGAAUUUGCCUUCUCAUUGGGGGGAAUUGAAAGAUCUGGAGACUCUUCUGACUCUGGUCUUCACUCUGGGUCCUAAACCAAUGUCCCUAGACCUGUUUCCCUUGAAAGAUAAACUAUCUUCAUUAGACUGCAGUUUUCUUCUUACAUUGAAUGAUCUCUUGUCAUUUUCCACAAGAAUGUGGAGUUGAAAAUGUUAUACCUGUCACAAGAUGUUUGAAGAGGAGAAUGUCAGUCACUAUACUGGAUAAAGUGAGCAAUUUUUGAAAUUAGAUAAAAUCCCCUGUUCCAAAUUUUCAUCCUGUGAUUCAGUGAGCUUCACAAACGUUCAGAAGAACACAUGGCUCUAUCUUUGUAUCUACACAGAUGUAAUAAUACUUGCUGCUUCAAAUUUUUGUUAAUGUACAUGAGAUUUUUAUAUAUCUAUGUAUUUGUCAUAGAUACUUGGUAAGUAGAUAUCAGUCGAAGGCAGUGGGUAUGUUAAUUUAUCUAACUUUAUAGGAGCAUCAAUAAUUGAUGUGUUUGGUAAUGAUGAUGAAAAACAAACAACUUUUAUGAGUAAAUUUGGUGAAUUGUGGACUUAUGGCAAAGUUUAGCAGCCUUUGUAUGGUAAGGAUAGUAAAUGCUGUUUAAAGAGAUAGAGACAUCUAGAGACUGCCCCACUGGGGAUGCAUCUCAUCAUCAGCCACCAAACCCAAACACUAUUGCAUAUGCUAGCAAGAUUUUGCUGAAAGGACCCUGAUAUAGCUGUCUCAUGUGAGGCUAUGCCAGUGCCUGGAAAUACAGAAGUGGAUGCUCACAGUCAUCUAUUGGAUGGAUCACAGGGCUUCCAAUGGAGGAGCUAGAGAAAGUACCCAAGGAGCUGAAGGGGUCUGCAACCCUAUAGGUGGAACAACAAUAUGAACUAACCAGUAGCCCCAGAGCUCGUGUCUCUAGCUGCAUAUGUAGCAGAAGAUGGACUAGUCUGCCAUCAUUAGGAAGAGAGGCCCCUUGGUCUUGCAAACCUUAUAUGGCCCAAUACAGGGGAACACCAGGUCCUUGAAGUGGGAGUAGGUGGGUAGGGGAGCUGGAUGGGGGGUGGGGGUAUAGGGGACUUUCGGGAUAGCAUUUGAAAUGUAAACGAAGAAAAUAUCUAAUAAAAAAUUGAAAAAAUUCAACCAUUAAAUACUC
rnacentral:lncRNA from 1 species